rfam:Lactobacillus casei ATCC 334, complete genome.
CUAAAAACGAUGAGUAGAAGAGUACCUGAGUUGUCGGUGUCAGCGAGUCUCGGUUGGUGGGAAGAGACCUCUGGUAGCUUUGGGAAAGUAGUCUACGAGUUGCCGAGGUGACUUUGGAAGCUUCGGUUGGGAUUGCGCCCAUUAUAGCAAUCGUGUAUCGCCAGGCAACUGGCCGUACACAGUAAGGCCGCUUACGGUGACGUAGCGGUAAAUUAAGGUGGUACAGCGUGAUUCGCGCCCUUAAC